rnacentral:rRNA from 1 species
CCCUUAGAUGUUCUGGGCCGCACGCGCGCUGCACUGACGAUGGCAACGAGUUUUUCCUUCGCCGAAAGGUGUGGGUAAUCUUUUGAAACAUCGUCGUGCUGGGGAUAGAUCAUUGCAAUUUUUGAUCUUGAACGAGGAAUUCCUAGUAAGCGCGAGUCAUCAGCUCGCGUUGAUUACGUCCCUGCCCUUUGUACACACCGCCCGUCGCUACUACCGAUUGAAUGGUUUAGUGAGGACUCCUGAUUGGCGCCGCCGCCCCGGCAACGGAGCAGCGGACUGCCGAAAAGUUGUUCAAACUUGAUCAUUUAGAGGAAGUAAAAGUCGUAACA